GGAGCCUAAUCAUCCCAACGUGUAAGAUUACAGAUAGAUUCAUAAAACAAUAGCGCUUGUUGUUCAUUAAAUCUUAUCAGUGUUAAUCCACUUGGUCUUUUCUUCUCUCUUAUUUAAUGCUAUUGCUCUCAAUCUUUAUCAUUGGUUUUGUUUUCCCUUUAUUUUGCUGAAAUGGCUAAAACAACGUUUUGCAACUUUUCCUCACUACAGGUAUGAGCAGUUGAUAGAUCA
rnacentral:misc_RNA from 1 species